GAUGAACGCUGGCGGCGUGCCUAAUACAUGCAAGUCGAGCGAACAGACGAGGAGCUUGCUCCUCUGACGUUAGCGGCGGACGGGUGAGUAACACGUGGAUAACCUACCUAUAAGACUGGGAUAACUUCGGGAAACCGGAUCUAAUACCGGAUAAUAUAUUGAACCGCAUGGUGCAAUAGUGAAAGACGGUUUUGCUGUCACUUAUAGAUGGAUCCGCGCCGCAUUAGCUAGUUGGUAAGGUAACGGCUUACCAAGGCAACGAUGCGUAGCCGACCUGAGAGGGUGAUCGGCCACACUGGAACUGAGACACGGUCCAGACUCCUACGGGAGGCAGCAGUAGGGAAUCUUCCGCAAUGGGCGAAAGCCUGACGGAGCAACGCCGCGUGAGUGAUGAGGGUCUUCGGAUCGUAAAACUCUGUUAUUAGGGAAGAACAAAUGUGUAAGUAACUAUGCACGUCUUGACGGUACCUAAUCAGAAAGCAACGGCUAACUACGUG
rnacentral:rRNA from 1 species